rnacentral:rRNA from 1 species
AGAGUUUGAUCCUGGCUCAGAUUGAACGCUGGCGGCAUGCCUUACACAUGCAAGUCGAACGGCAGCGCGGGAGCAAUCCUGGCGGCGAGUGGCGAACGGGUGAGUAAUAUAUCGGAACGUGCCUUAGAGUGGGGGAUAACUAGUCGAAAGACUAGCUAAUACCGCAUACGACCUACGGGUGAAAGUGGGGGAUCGCAAGACCUCAUGCUCUUAGAGCGGCCGAUAUCUGAUUAGCUAGUUGGUGGGGUAAAAGCCUACCAAGGCGACGAUCAGUAGCUGGUCUGAGAGGACGACCAGCCACACUGGGACUGAGACACGGCCCAGACUCCUACGGGAGGCAGCAGUGGGGAAUUUUGGACAAUGGGGGCAACCCUGAUCCAUCAAUGCCGCGUGUGUGAAGAAGGCCUUCCGGUUGUAAAACACUUUUGUCCGGAAAGA